rnacentral:ncRNA from 1 species
UUUGUGCGUACGAUAAGUGGAUACGUGUAUCCGAAUUUUGAGCACAGGGAAAUGAGCCUUGGCAACAGCGUGAGCAAUCACGGAAAGCCACAACAUAUACACACGGAGCAGAGUUUGGUAGGCAUGGCAACAUGAGCCGAAGAAGUCGUACUCC